CAAUUCUACGAAUUGGAGAGUGUAUAUAAUAUUUACUACGUAAAAUAUUAUCUUAACCAGGGAUCUAUAUUUGGCUACAAAAAAAAAAAUUAACUCUGGCUUUUAUUAUAGAUUAGGUGGGAUUUUCAUGAGAAUUUGUGUGUUAUAAUAUAAAUUGAGUUUAGUUUUAGAUAAAUUUUUAAUAUUAUUAAAAAUUGAAAUAUGUUUAUAGGUUAUCUUAUUGUAAGUAAAGAGAGUGCCAGCAGCUGCGGUUAGACUCUAUACAACUAUUAAAUUUAAGGAGCUAUUUAUUUUUUAGUUAAUAUUGAAUUAUAGGUGAAAUUUGUAAAUAUUUAUGUGUUCUUUUAGAAGUAAGUAAAUUUUUAUAAACUAGGAUUAGAUACCCUAUUAUUUUUAUUUUGCUUAGACUAUUAAGGAUAAAAUUAAUUCGUUUGGCGGCCAAUAUAUUUAGAGGAAUUUGCUUUUUAAACGAUAAACCUCGUUUUGUUUUUCUUUUCUUAUGUUUGUAUAUCAUUAUUAAAUUUUUGUUAGAAGAUUAUAAAUAAAAAUAAUUUAAUAAAUUUAGAUCAAGGUGCAGCUAUAGAGGAGUUAAAGUUAAUUACAAUAAGUAAUAUUAGGUAGAUAUAUUUUUAUAAAUUAAUAUAAACAUAGGAUUUAAUUGUAAUUUGUGGUUAUAUAAAUGAAUUAAUUAUGUUAGUGUACAAAUUGCCCGUCAUUCUCUAUGAGACAAGUCGAAACAAAGUAAGUUUACUUGAAGGUGAACUUAAAAACAA
rnacentral:rRNA from 1 species